AACGAACGCUGGCGGCAGGCCUAACACAUGCAAGUCGAGCGAGCAUUUCGGUGCUAGCGGCGGACGGGUGAGUAACGCGUGGGAACGUGCCCUUUUCUGCGGGAUAGUCCUGGGAAACUGGGGGUAAUACCGCAUACGCCCUUUUGGGGAAAGAUUUAUCGGAGAAGGAUCGGCCCGCGUUGGAUUAGGUAGUUGGUGGGGUAAUGGCCCACCAAGCCGACGAUCCAUAGCUGGUUUGAGAGGAUGAUCAGCCACACUGGGACUGAGACACGGCCCAGACUCCUACGGGAGGCAGCAGUGGGGAAUCUUAGACAAUGGGGGCAACCCUGAUCUAGCCAUGCCGCGUGAGUGAUGAAGGCCUUAGGGUUGUAAAGCUCUUUCAGCUGGGAAGAUAAUGACGGUACCAGCAGAAGAAGCCCCGGCUAACUCCGUG
rnacentral:rRNA from 1 species